rnacentral:rRNA from 1 species
UAGGGAAUCUUCGGCAAUGGGGGCAACCCUGACCGAGCAACGCCGCGUGAGUGAAGAAGGUUUUCGGAUCGUAAAGCUCUGUUGUAAGUCAAGAACGAGUGUGAGAGUGGAAAGUUCACACUGUGACGGUAGCUUACCAGAAAGGGACGGCUAACUACGUGCCAGCAGCCGCGGUAAUACGUAGGUCCCGAGCGUUGUCCGGAUUUAUUGGGCGUAAAGCGAGCGCAGGCGGUUUGAUAAGUCUGAAGUUAAAGGCUGUGGCUCAACCAUAGUUCGCUUUGGAAACUGUCAAACUUGAGUGCAGAAGGGGAGAGUGGAAUUCCAUGUGUAGCGGUGAAAUGCGUAGAUAUAUGGAGGAACACCGGUGGCGAAAGCGGCUCUCUGGUCUGUAACUGACGCUGAGGCUCGAAAGCGUGGGGAGCGAACAGGAUUAGAUACCCUGGUAGUCCACGCCGUANCGAUGAGUGCUAGGUGUUGGAUCCUUUCCGGGAUUCAGUGCCGCAGCUAANGCANUANNACUCCGCCUGGGGAGUACNACCGCAAGGUUG